GAUGAACGCUGGCGGCGUGCCUAAUACAUGCAAGUCGAGCGGACGGGCGAGAAUCUUGCGGCGCUGAUGUUAGCGGCGGACGUGAGAGUCACACGUGUAUAACCUACCUAUAAUACUGGGAUAACUUCGGGAAACCGGCUCUAAUACCGUAGAAUAUUUUGAACCGCAUGGUGGGAUAGUGAGAUACGGUCGUGCUGGCUGUUAUAGAUGGAUCCGCGCUGCAUGAGCUGGUUGGUAAGGUAACGGCUUACCAAGGGAAGGAUGCAUAGCCGAAGUGAGAGAGUGAUCGCCCACCCUGGAACUGAACCACCGUCCUGGGUACUACGGGAGGCCGCAGUAGGGAACGGUACGCAAUGGGCGAAAGCCUGACGGAGCAAGGCCGAGUGAGUGAUGGAGGUCUUCGGAUCGUAAUACUCUGUUAUUAGGGAAGAACAUAUGUGUACGUAAAUGUGCCCAGCUUGACGGUACCUAGUCAGAAAGCCCCGGCUAACUACGUG
rnacentral:rRNA from 1 species